UACGAAGGGGGCUAGCGUUGCUCGGAAUUACUGGGCGUAAAGGGCGCGUAGGCGGCACUGUUAGUCAGGCGUGAAAGUCCUGGGCUCAACCUGGGAACUGCGCUUGAUACGGCAGAGCUAGAGGAUGGAAGAGGCUCGCGGAAUUCCCAGUGUAGAGGUGAAAUUCGUAGAUAUUGGGAAGAACACCGGUGGCGAAGGCGGCGAGCUGGUCCAUUCUGACGCUGAGGCGCGA
rnacentral:rRNA from 1 species